CCUACGGGUGGCAGCAGUGGGGAAUAUUGCACAAUGGGGGAAACCCUGAUGCAGCGACGCCGCGUGAGCGAGGAAGUAUUUCGGUAUGUAAAGCUCUAUCAGCAGGGACGAAAAAAGACGGUACCUGACUAAGAAGCCCCGGCUAACUACGUGCCAGCAGCCGCGGUAAUACGUAGGGGGCAAGCGUUAUCCAGAUUUACUGGGUGUAAAGGGAGCGUAGACGGCAAGGCAAGCCAGAAGUGAAAGGGCAGGGCUCAACCCUGUACAUGCUUUUGGAAACUGUAUGGCUGGAGUGCAGGAGAGGUAAGUGGAAUUCCUAGUGGAGCGGUGAAAUGCGUAGAUAUUAGGAGGAACACCAGUGGCGAAGGCGGCUUACUGGACUGUAACUGACGUUGAGGCUCGAAAGCGUGGGGAGCAAACAGGAUUAGAUACCCCAGUAGUC
rnacentral:rRNA from 1 species